rnacentral:rRNA from 1 species
UAGUUUCAAUGUCUCUUUCAAAAAAGAGCGUAGUUAUGGUAUUGGUUGGAAAGUGGCCCUAUCGUUCAACAUAUCGCAACGUGAUGCCGGAAUUUUGAAAAAAAUUCAACAGGCAUUCGGGUGCGGUACGAUCCGCUUUCGUAAAGAUGGAGUGGGUUAUUUCGAAAUUCGUAGUCUCGAUGGACUAAAGAAUGUCGUUAUUCCCUUCUUUAACCAAUAUCAACUGCAAUCCAAAAAGAGAGCAGACUUUGAUACUUUUUGCGCAAUCGCCAACAUGGUCUUUGCUAAGCAACAUCUUACGUACAUUGGUAUGAAAAGGUUGUUAGCGUUAAGAGAAAACAUGAAUGGUGGUGGUAAAAGAAAGUUCUCUUCACGGACAAUCCUGUCACAGAUGCGAAUACAAUCCUCAGAGACUAUACGCCAAACACGCAGCAAUGCGUGAUGAUAUAGGCCGAUCUGCAUAGCGAUAUGCAGAGUCAGACAGAAAUGAUCUGACCUGUUAGUAAUAACAGUAACAACAAUGAACCGUCCUAUGGUUGGAAUAUAAACUGCCAUAGUGAGAGUAAUGCCAGCAAUGGUAGAGCCUCUCUGUUCGAACUUCUAUUGCCGGAAGAUGUAGAACAAAAACCUGACCAAAUGCUGGAACAUCUGAGUAUCCAACCGUACCAGAAAUGGUGACAAUCGGUUUGGUGCAGACAAUCAGCAGGAAAGACCUCAAAAAGGUAUCCCCAGAGACUAUACGUCAGGCUUGCAACAGCAAGAAGAUAUAGUCCGGACUAUCUGGCGACAGAUAGAGUACGACAGAAAUGAUCGUACCACGUGAAAACGUGCAACAACUUCAAGCGAAAUUCCUUGUCGGGUAAGUUCCGACCCGCACGAAUGGCAUAACGAUCUGGAUACUGUCUCAACGAAGGAUCCGGUGAAAUUCCACUUCCGGUAAAGAUGCCGGAUACAUACAGCAAGACGAAAAGACCCCGUGGAGCUUUACUACAACUUGGCAUUGUUGCAUUUUGAUGUUGGCGCAGAAUAGGUGGGAGACUUUGAAACUCUGACUUUGGUCAGAUGGAGUCGCCAGUGAGAUACCACCCUAAUAGCGAGAUGUGACUCACUUUCGGUUAAGACGAGAGGACAGUGUCUGGUGGGUAGUUUAACUGGGGCGGUUGCCUCCCAAAUUGUAACGGAGGCGUUCAAAGGUUCACUUAGCCAGGAUGGAAAUCUGGCUUCAAAGUGUAAUAGCAUAAGUGAGCUUGACUGCAAGACCCUCAAGUCGAGCAGAUACGAAAGUAGGAUAUAGUGAUCCGACACUAACGUGUGAGAGUGGUGUCGCUCAUCGGAUAAAAGUUACCCCGGGGAUAACAGGCUUAUUGCGCCCAAUAGACCACAUAGACGGCGCAGUUUGGCACCUCGAUGUCGGCUCAUCGCAUCCUGGGGCGGUAGUACGUCCCAAGGGUUUGGCUGUUCGCCAAUUAAAGCGGUACGCGAGCUGGGUUCAGACCGUAAACAACAUUGCGGUCCUUCACCGUAAGGUGAUUUAAUAAAGUUGACUCA